rnacentral:rRNA from 1 species
CCCUUAGAUGUUCUGGGCCGCACACGCGCUACACUGAAGGAGGCAGCGUGUACUCCUGGAUCGAAAGAUUUGGGUAACCCGCGAAUCUCCUUCGUGCUAGGGAUUGAGGUUUGCAAUUAUCCUUCAUGAACGAGGAAUUCCCAGUAAGUGCAAGUCAUAAGCUUGCGCUGACUACGUCCCUGCCCUUUGUACACACCGCCCGUCGCUCCUACCGAUAGAGCAGUCCGGUGAAUACUUCGGACCGACAGCUUGAUUGGUUCGCCAGUCUUGCCGUUGGAAAGUCGAGUGAACCUUAUUGCUUAGAGGAAGGAGAAGUCGUAACA